CAGCCGCCGCGGUAAUACGGAGGGUGCAAGCGUUAUCCGGAUUUAUUGGGUUUAAAGGGUCCGUAGGCGGAUCUGUAAGUCAGUGGUGAAAUCUCACAGCUUAACUGUGAAACUGCCAUUGAUACUGCAGGUCUUGAGUAAAUUUGAAGUGGCUGGAAUAAGUAGUGUAGCGGUGAAAUGCAUAGAUAUUACUUAGAACACCAAUUGCGAAGGCAGGUCACUAAGAUUUAACUGACGCUGAUGGACGAAAGCGUGGGGAGCGAACAGGAUUAGAUACCCCGGUAGUCCCUGUCUCUUAUAC
rnacentral:rRNA from 1 species